CAGACGCUACCAUCCAGAGUGACUUACAAGAAGUUACAGAGAGGAGUGAGGUUUGUGUUUAUGUAAAGUAUUAAGAGUUACCGACAACUCUACUCUCUGAUGAUAGUGUCUCCUCUGAUCCUGGACCUGUGAUUCUUUAGAAUGUUCUAUUUCUCCUCUGAUUGGACUAUUCUACUUCCGUUCCUAUCACUAUUCAGUCCUGUCUAGUGAUUAGCAUGGCUUCCUAGUAUGACAGCAGCCACAGAAUGGAAGGCUAUGAACAAUGGUGUAAAGUAACUAGCUGCAUACCGAGCAGUGUUGUGACACAGCAGAAUGAUGUCACCUCCUUCAGACGUGGUCUGCCUACCUAAUCACAGCCCCAAAAAAUAGCAAUAUUCCUCCAUGUUGGGUACAUACGGAACUGCUACACCACUCCCAUGGUUCAGCAAGCACCAACAAUUUGCCAGGAAACCUUCUACGGUUACGUGUUUAGUUCUGAGUGAUUCAGCUUUGAUUCAAACUCAGAGUAUCUACGCCACCAUAGUGCAGAACCCACUUCCUGAUUAAACAACAUGGAGGAAAAAGAAGGAGAGGGAGAGAGAAAAAUGGAAUAGAGAGAGGGGGAAUAAAGAGAUAUAGAGGGGGAGAUAAAGAGAAACAUAGUUAGAGAGAAUCUGAUGUCAUUUAGGGAUUAUGGUGCUAUAACAAGCCAGAAGGUUUCUCUCAUCUUAACAUGGGGGAGAAAUUCUGGGGGAUAUGGUAUUUGGGGGUUUCUAUGGCCACCAGGGAGUAGAAACAGGCUAGUGGGAGAACAUGAUAAUAGCUGUCUUAAUUGAUGUUAAUUGGAGUACAUUCAUUGUAUGGCAGUCUUAUACUCAGCUGGCCCCUCCCCAGAUUUUGUGUUAAAUGCUCUACAACAAAGCUUUCUUAGUGUCCAACAAGCUUUCUCUACCCUUAACCUUGUUCUGAACUCCUUCAAAACAAAGGUCAUAUGAUUUGGUAAGAAGAAUACCCCUCUCCCCACAGGUGUGAUUACUACCUCUGAGGGUUUAGAGCUUGAGGUAGUCACCUCAUACAAGUACUUGGGAGUAUGGCUAGACGGUGCACUGUCCUUCUCUCAGCAUGUAUCAAAGCUGCAGGCUAAAGUUAAAUCUAGACUUGGUUUCCUCUAUUGUAAUCGCUCCUCUUUCACCCCAGCUGCCAAACUAACCCUGAUUCAGAUGCCCAUCCUACCCAUGCUAGUUUACGGAGACAUCAUUUAUAGAUCGGCUGCUCUCGAGCAGCUAGAUGUUCUUUACCAUACGGCCAUCAGAUUUGCCACCAAUGCUCCUUAUAGGACACAUCACUGCACUCUAUACUCCUCUGUAAACUGGUCAUCUCUGUAUACCCGUUGCAAGACCCACUGGUUGAUGCUUAUUUAUAAAACCCUCUUAGGCCUCACUCCCCCCUAUCUGAGAUAUCUACUGCAGCCCUCAUCCUCCACAUACAACACCCGUUCUGCCAGUCACAUUCUGUUAAAGGUCUCCAAAGCACACACAUCCCUGGGUCGCUCCUCUUUUCAGUUCGCUGCAGCUAGUGACUGGAACAAACACUCAAACUGGACAGUGUUAUCUCAAUCUCUUCAUUCAAAGGCUCAAUCAUGGACACUCUUAUUGACAGUUGUGGCUGCUUUGCGUGAUGUAUUGUUGUCUCAACCUUCUUGCCCUUUGUGCUGUUACCUGUGCCCAAUAAUUUCAUACCUUGUUUUAUGCUGCUACCAUGUUGUGUUGCUACCAUGUUGUUGUUAUGUUUCUACCAUGUUGUGCUGCUACCAUGUUGUUGUUAUGUUGUGUUGCUACCAAGCUGUGUUGUUGUCUUAGGUCUCUCUUUAUGAAGCAUUGUGUUGUCUCUCUUGUUGUG
rnacentral:lncRNA from 1 species